UGUGUGUGUGUGUGUGUGUGUGUGUGUGUGUGUGUGUGGGUGUUGCAGGUCAGCUUCCUCCAGAAGACGACCUCUUUGCUGCAGGAAGACCUGGAUGCCUGUCGCAGCAGGAGGUAACAGAGUAAAAACAACAAGCUGACUCCCAACCYGAACAUGAAGGAUAAACUCUGCCAUCACAUGAGGACCACCCUUGGUUUGUCAACUUUAAUGUGCUCUUUUCACUCAUUUGUUAAUGAAAUAUUUAUUAUUUGUCUCGUUUAGUUGUUAAAAACCAUUCUUGAGUUCUCAUCUUGCUGAACCGUUCGACUGUGUCGUGUUGAUCUCAUUAACUUGUCAUUGAGUCUGUAUUUGAUUUGGCAUAAUUUUUUUACAGAACUGCUUUGUUUUUUUUUAAAUAAAAGUCUUUGCAUCAUU